AUACUUACCUGGCAGGGGAGAUACCACGACAACAAGGUAUCUCCUGAGGGUGAGGCUUACACAUUGCACUCUGCGUGUGCUGACCCCUGCAAUUUCCCCAAAUGUGGGAAACCUGACUGCAUAAUUUAUGGUAAUAGGGGACUGCACUGGUGCUUAA
ensembl:snRNA U1 U1 spliceosomal RNA